CAUUUCAACUACAAAUAUGACACACUUUCAUUAAAGAUUUAUAUUUCAUCCUCUUCACUUAUAAGAAAGAGGAUGCAGACAGCAUUUGACCUGCGGCAACAGACCAUAGUGAAGACAUGCCCACCAGUGAAAAACCUUAAGGAACUCUGGCCUGCACUCAAAUAGAGUCUGAGGUGUAUUUAGACUUCCAACGAAUUACAAUACAGAACCUGCCCAACAUAUUCUGCUCUGAGCUUGACCGACAUCUUCUUUCUGAAAAAAGUCAUCAGUCUAGAAAGACAACCAAAAUUGGGAAGACAUCAAAUGCUUUGACUGAAAUCCUAAGAAUCUACGAUUAACAGGAGGUACGUGACAUACACACCAAGUGUAUCACUGCUCUUCAUCUCCUUCCAGUCUAUCAACAUGAGGACGUCUCAGGGUUCUUCAGGACCUGCACAGACACAUCUGAUGAGCCAGAGCUUUAAGAUGUUGUAAAGGCCCUCCUUACAGUCAUCAUAGAUGACGACACAAGUCCAGUUCACUUCCAGCCUGAGAAAAUCUGUCAUCGUUGAAAGCGAGAUUUGGUCAACCUCUACAGAUUUACCGAUGCCUUUCUGGUAAUGUUUGGACUGAUCUAUGCACUACACCUUAGCUAUCCCAGGCGACUGACAACACACUUGAAUUCACUCAAAUGUUACUUUGCCUUGAUGAUGGAAAAGUGUCAUCCAAGUAACAGAGUCUCAAAAAGGACUUGAUGUGUAUGUAGAAAUGUAUCUAAAAAUGUGUUUUCUUCACAAUAUGCACAAUGUGCCUUUGUAUUUUCAAACGGUAUUUGUGACUUGAAUUGUUGUCUGUGUUGGUCUUUUAAAUUGACACUGCCAUUUUAAAUGGAAAGGGCAAAAAUUUUGUUAAACACA